AUGAACGCUGACAGAAUGCUUAACACAUGCAAGUCAUUGGCGAAGCUGCGCUUGCGCAGUCUAGCCAAGGCGGACGGGUGAGUAACGCGUAAGGAACUUGCCCUGCAGACAGGGAUAACAGACGGAAACGACUGAUAACACCUGGUAUUGUCAGGCUGGCGCAUGCCGGCCUGAUGAAAGGAGACACUGCAGGAGAGCCUUGCGUCCUAUUAGCUAGUUGGUGGGGUAACGGCCCACCAAGGCGAUGAUAGGUAGCCGGCCUGAGAGGGUGAACGGCCACAAGGGGACUGAGAUACGGCCCUUACUCCUACGGGAGGCAGCAGUGGGGAAUAUUGGACAAUGGGGGCAACCCUGAUCCAGCAAUUCUGUGUGCACGAAGAAGGUUUUCGGAUUGUAAAGUGCUUUCAGCAGGGAAGAAGAAAGUGACGGUACCUGCAGAAGAAGCGACGGCUAAAUACGUG
rnacentral:rRNA from 1 species